UGUGUCCUACGGGGGGCAGCAGUGGGGAAUAUUGCACAAUGGGCGAAAGCCUGAUGCAGCGACGCCGCGUGAGCGAAGAAGUAUCUCGGUAUGUAAAGCUCUAUCAGCAGGGAAGAAAAUGACGGUACCUGACUAAGAAGCCCCGGCUAACUACGUGCCAGCAGCCGCGGUAAUACGUAGGGGGCAAGCGUUAUCCGGAUUUACUGGGUGUAAAGGGAGCGUAGACGGCAGUGCAAGUCUGGAGCGAAAGCCUGGGGCUCAACCCCGGAACUGCUUUGGAAACUGUGCUGCUUGAGUACCGGAGG
rnacentral:rRNA from 1 species